GCAUAUCAAUAAGCGGAGGAAAAGAAACCAACAGGGAUUGCCCCAGUAACGGCGAGUGAAGCGGCAACAGCUCAAAUUUGAAAUCUGGCUCUCGGGCCCGAGUUGUAAUUUGUAGAGGAUGCUUUUGGUGAGGUGCCUUCCGAGUUCCCUGGAACGGGACGCCAUAGAGGGUGAGAGCCCCGUCUGGUUGGACGCCGAACCUCUGUAAAGCUCCUUCGACGAGUCGAGUAGUUUGGGAAUGCUGCUCUAAAUGGGAGGUAUAUGUCUUCUAAAGCUAAAUACCGGCCAGAGACCGAUAGCGCACAAGUAGAGUGAUCGAAAGAUGAAAAGAACUUUGAAAAGAGAGUUAAACAGUACGUGAAAUUGUUGAAAGGGAAGCGCUUGUGACCAGACUUGGGCUUGGUUGAUCAUCCGGGGUUCUCCCCGGUGCACUCUUCCGGCCCAGGCCAGCAUCAGUUCGCCCUGGGGGACAAAGGCAUCGGGAACGUGGCUCUCUCCGGGGAGUGUUAUAGCCCGUUGCGUAAUACCCUGCGGCGGACUGAGGUUCGCGCAUUCGCAAGGAUGCUGGCGUAAUGGUCAUCAGUGACCCGUCUUGAAACACGGACCAAGGAGUCGUCUUCGUAUGCGAGUGUUCGGGUGUCAAACCCCUACGCGAAAUGAAAGUGAACGCAGGUGAGAGCUUCGGCGCAUCAUCGACCGAUCCUGAUGUUAUCGGAUGGAUUUGAGUAAGAGCAUACGGGGCCGGACCCGAAAGAAGGUGAACUAUGCCUGUGUAGGGUGAAGCCAGAGGAAACUCUGGUGGAGGCUCGCAGCGGUUCUGACGUGCAAAUCGAUCGUCAAACAUGGGCAUGGGGGCGAAAGACUAAUCGAACCUUCUAGUAGCUGGUUUCCGCCGAA
rnacentral:rRNA from 1 species